ensembl:lncRNA
UUUUCUCUCACCGUAUUAAAACUUCAGCCUUCGUACCUCCUUCAGCCCCGUCACAGCAGUGUGUCAGGUCUCUUGGACAUCUGGAGAGAAGCUUCGGUGGGUCAGUGACCACCCUGAGGCUGACCCAGAAGGCGCGAGAGUUCCAGGAGCGCUGUGGUCAGAGUCCGGUGAGCCAGGGCUCCAUCACCUCAGGCCAGGUUGUAAAUCAACACAGGUUCAGCAAACCUUUCUACACAAAUCAUCAGCUUCUCCGCCUCCUUUCUGGAAAUCAGAGACACUCUGAACAGAAAUGAACAGCUUUAGUGAGAUUUGGGGUGAAAACUCAUCUCUCAAACUGUUGAGGGGAAUCAUCCUGUGCGGUGACCGCCUCAGGCCGUAUCCUCCACUAAGGGCUCAGGAAGAAGGCAGAGGCAUGUAGGAUCUUAGCUCCUCAGCCAGAAUGGAACCUGCAUCCCCUGCAUUGGAAGGUGAAGUCUCAACCACUGCACUACCAGGGAAGGCCCAUAAAAAUGUUUUACUCAGCUGUUCUUUCAGCUGCCAUCCAUACAGAAGAGACCUGGUCUGAACCAAAGCAAAAAUUGGCUAACUUUCUUCUCCCAAGUCUAGACACGAGCAUUUCUUUUUCCACUUUUAGCUUGAUGCUUUGGGUAAGCACAUUAACUGUGAAUCAGUGUGGUUACAACAUAUGAAUUUUAUUAAAAAUCAUCUCAACAGCUAAAAUUCUAAAGUUUCAUAAAAACCUUCAAAUAAGUUCAAGACUAGAGAAAUUUACUGAAACUUCAUAUAAAUCUGCCUUUAUUUAAUGAAUGGAUAAUGCAGUAUUUGGAGUAUUAUUUAAACAACAAAGAUUUGUUUUUCUUUUCAAAACAGAUUAAAUUAAGAGCUACAACCUCAUUUUUAAUUUCAGUAUUUAAUAUUUACUGAAGUAAGUUAGUCAUUCACCUGAUAGCAUAAUUUAAUAUGUUUUUCUCAUUUGGAGGGGAAAAUAUACUUUACUUUCUUUAUACCUUCAUUUAUUUUAUGGGAAAUACUAGUGAUUUCAAUAAACAAGUAUAAAUACAAAGUAUUGUUUGUUUCUAGUCCUUUAAUAUAAUAAUUGGCUAUGGAAUGUAUGUCAUUAUUUUUGAGAAAACAAUCAGAAUUUCUCUUAUCUUCAAUGUAGCUGAUGUUAAAAUGUUGCAUUGCAUGCUAAAAUAGAAAAUAAUUAAGUAAUAAUUCCUCCAAGUGCUGUCCAGUAAUUUUAUAUGUGAAAAGCAUAGAAAUUAAAUAAAUUAUAUGGAACUUAAGUAGAAACAUUUUAUUCAAAAAUAGCAUGAAAGUUAUAAGGUUGAAUCAUAAUAAUAUUUGUUAUUUAGAGUAUAUGCAAAAUAUAUGCAAAUUGUGUUAUAAUACCGUUUCACACUCUGAAAGACAUCUUUUAGCAGUUUUAAUCGUGACUCAAAAAGUUUAAAAGACUAAAGAGAAUUCCCAAUUUUCUGUAGUAGAAAAAAGAUAUGGAUAAUAAGAAGGAAUCUAUAUUUGACUCUGGAAUUGCCUUGUGUGCUUAUAAUUUAAGAGUGUUUUCUGGUGAUAAGGAUUGAAGUUGAAACUGAACCAUGAACUCCAUCAUACAGCCUGAGAAGAGCUUGGAAAUUUUAUAAACCAAUCACAGAGAGUCGGAAAUCAAAAGAGAAAGGCUACCUGUUUUAGUAAAGAGCCCGACCUCACUUUCAAUGUUGGACUGUAGACAGCUAUCAACAGUCGUGCCUUACCUUUUCCCCUUCUGCCCUACAGAGAGGCAAGCUAGGGAAGUUGGGUGUGCCCAUCUUUGGCAAUCGGAAGAAUUUUUUUAUAUGUUUUUAUUUUUUUAAUUGGAUCUUUUUUUAAUGUUAUUUUGGUGUUUAGCAGUCCAGUGGUUAAGGCUCUGUAGCACUUCCACUGCAGAGGGCGAUGUUCU